CCUACGGGCUGCAGCAGCAUUGGGGAAUAUUGCACAAUGGGCGCAAGCCUGAUGCAGCCAUGCCGCGUGUAUGAAGAAGGCCUUCGGGUUGUAAAGUACUUUCAGCGGGGAGGAAGGCGAUAAGGUUAAUAACCUUGUCGAUUGACGUUACCCGCAGAAGAAGCACCGGCUAACUCCGUGCCAGCAGCCGCGGUAAUACGGAGGGUGCAAGCGUUAAUCGGAAUUACUGGGCGUAAAGCGCACGCAGGCGGUCUGUCAAGUCGGAUGUGAAAUCCCCGGGCUCAACCUGGGAACUGCAUUCGAAACUGGCAGGCUAGAGUCUUGUUGAGGGGGGUAGAAUUCCAGGUGUAGCGGUGAAAUGCGUAGAGAUCUGGAGGAAUACCGGUGGCGAAGGCGGCCCCCUGGACAAAGACUGACGCUCAGGUGCGAAAGCGUGGGGAGCAAACAGGAUUAGAUACCCGUGUAGUC
rnacentral:rRNA from 1 species